rnacentral:rRNA from 1 species
GGCAGUCAGAGGCGAUGAAGGACGUGCUAAUCUGCGAUAAGCGUCGGUAAGGUGAUAUGAACCGUUAUAACCGGCGAUUUCCGAAUGGGGAAACCCAGUGUGUUUCGACACACUAUCAUUAACUGAAUCCAUAGGUUAAUGAGGCGAACCGGGGGAACUGAAACAUCUAAGUACCCCGAGGAAAAGAAAUCAACCGAGAUUCCCCCAGUAGCGGCGAGCGAACGGGGAGCAGCCCAGAGCCUGAAUCAGUNNNNNNNNNNNNNNNNNNNNNNNNNNNNNNNNNNNNNNNNNNNNNNNNNNNNNNNNNNNNNNNNNNNNNNNNNNNNNNNNNNNNNNNNNNNNNNNNNNNNNNUGUGAGCUCGAUGAGUAGGGCGGGACACGUGGUAUCCUGUCUGAAUAUGGGGGGACCAUCCUCCAAGGCUAAAUACUCCUGACUGACCGAUAGUGAACCAGUACCGUGAGGGAAAGGCGAAAAGAACCCCGGCGAGGGGAGUGAAAAAGAACCUGAAACCGUGUACGUACAAGCAGUGGGAGCACGCUUAGGCGUGUGACUGCGUACCUUUUGUAUAAUGGGUCAGCGACUUAUAUUCUGUAGCAAGGUUAACCGAAUAGGGGAGCCGAAGGGAAACCGAGUCUUAACUGGGCGUUAAGUUGCAGGGUAUAGACCCGAAACCCGGUGAUCUAGCCAUGGGCAGGUUGAAGGUUGGGUAACACUAACUGGAGGACCGAACCGACUAAUGUUGAAAAAUUAGCGGAUGACUUGUGGCUGGGGGUGAAAGGCCAAUCAAACCGGGAGAUAGCUGGUUCUCCCCGAAAGCUAUUUAGGUAGCGCCUCGUGAAUUCAUCUCCGGGGGUAGAGCACUGUUUCGGCAAGGGGGUCAUCCCGACUUACCAACCCGAUGCAAACUGCGAAUACCGGAGAAUGUUAUCACGGGAGACACACGGCGGGUGCUAACGUCCGUCGUGAAGAGGGAAACAACCCAGACCGCCAGCUAAGGUCCCAAAGUCAUGGUUAAGUGGGAAACGAUGUGGGAAGGCCCAGACAGCCAGGAUGUUGGCUUAGAAGCAGCCAUCAUUUAAAGAAAGCGUAAUAGCUCACUGGUCGAGUCGGCCUGCGCGGAAGAUGUAACGGGGCUAAACCAUGCACCGAAGCUGCGGCAGCGACGCUUAUGCGUUGUUGGGUAGGGGAGCGUUCUGUAAGCCUGUGAAGGUGUGCUGUGAGGCAUGCUGGAGGUAUCAGAAGUGCGAAUGCUGACAUAAGUAACGAUAAAGCGGGUGAAAAGCCCGCUCGCCGGAAGACCAAGGGUUCCUGUCCAACGUUAAUCGGGGCAGGGUGAGUCGACCCCUAAGGCGAGGCCGAAAGGCGUAGUCGAUGGGAAACAGGUUAAUAUUCCUGUACUUGGUGUUACUGCGAAGGGGGGACGGAGAAGGCUAUGUUGGCCGGGCGACGGUUGUCCCGGUUUAAGCGUGUAGGCUGGUUUUCCAGGCAAAUCCGGAAAAUCAAGGCUGAGGCGUGAUGACGAGGCACUACGGUGCUGAAGCAACAAAUGCCCUGCUUCCAGGAAAAGCCUCUAAGCAUCAGGUAACAUCAAAUCGUACCCCAAACCGACACAGGUGGUCAGGUAGAGAAUACCAAGGCGCUUGAGAGAACUCGGGUGAAGGAACUAGGCAAAAUGGUGCCGUAACUUCGGGAGAAGGCACGCUGAUAUGUAGGUGAAGUCCCUCGCGGAUGGAGCUGAAAUCAGUCGAAGAUACCAGCUGGCUGCAACUGUUUAUUAAAAACACAGCACUGUGCAAACACGAAAGUGGACGUAUACGGUGUGACGCCUGCCCGGUGCCGGAAGGUUAAUUGAUGGGGUUAGCCGCAAGGCGAAGCUCUUGAUCGAAGCCCCGGUAAACGGCGGCCGUAACUAUAACGGUCCUAAGGUAGCGAAAUUCCUUGUCGGGUAAGUUCCGACCUGCACGAAUGGCGUAAUGAUGGCCAGGCUGUCUCCACCCGAGACUCAGUGAAAUUGAACUCGCUGUGAAGAUGCAGUGUACCCGCGGCAAGACGGAAAGACCCCGUGAACCUUUACUAUAGCUUGACACUGAACAUUGAGCCUUGAUGUGUAGGAUAGGUGGGAGGCUUAGAAGUGUGGACGCCAGUCUGCAUGGAGCCGACCUUGAAAUACCACCCUUUAAUGUUUGAUGUUCUAACGUUGACCCGUAAUCCGGGUUGCGGACAGUGUCUGGUGGGUAGUUUGACUGGGGCGGUCUCCUCCUAAAGAGUAACGGAGGAGCACGAAGGUUGGCUAAUCCUGGUCGGACAUCAGGAGGUUAGUGCAAUGGCAUAAGCCAGCUUGACUGCGAGCGUGACGGCGCGAGCAGGUGCGAAAGCAGGUCAUAGUGAUCCGGUGGUUCUGAAUGGAAGGGCCAUCGCUCAACGGAUAAAAGGUACUCCGGGGAUAACAGGCUGAUACCGCCCAAGAGUUCAUAUCGACGGCGGUGUUUGGCACCUCGAUGUCGGCUCAUCACAUCCUGGGGCUGAAGUAGGUCCCAAGGGUAUGGCUGUUCGCCAUUUAAAGUGGUACGCGAGCUGGGUUUAGAACGUCGUGAGACAGUUCGGUCCCUAUCUGCCGUGGGCGCUGGAGAACUGAGGGGGGCUGCUCCUAGUACGAGAGGACCGGAGUGGACGCAUCACUGGUGUUCGGGUUGUCAUGCCAAUGGCACUGCCCGGUAGCUAAAUGCGGAAGAGAUAAGUGCUGAAAGCAUCUAAGCACGAAACUUGCCCCGAGAUGAGUUCUCCCUGAC